AGAAAGGAUUUUCUCCCUAAGUGAGCCUUAGUGACAAAAAAUGUAGAGGAGAAGAUUUAUUCUGCUUGAGAAUGAAGAUCAACUGUGUCAUAUUCAUUUCUUAAUUUCUGGCUUCAUAGUUUCAAGGUCAUGCCUUCAACAACAAAGAUGGAAAAGCUCAUCCACAGGUAGAGAUUCCACAUUUCCAUUCAUUGAAGACAUCUUUAUUCUCAUUGAUCUAAUUUUUUACGAAGCCAAAAGCUCCAAUCCUGCAGGAAGAAUGACUAUAUUUCAUUGUUGUUAAGAAAAUCAUACAACAAAAUUGUUAUUCAAGGAGGCAAUCAAAGAGUAUGCAGCUAUAAAAGAGUAGAAAAAUAUUGUAGAAGUGUCAAGUAGCUAAUAAAAAACACUAUUAAUCUGGAUUUUGUGACGUGUAUGGUAUUUAUGACCUCUUUGAAAUUAUUCUUAAAUAUUUACUUUCUUACCUAAUUGUAAUGUUGUGUUCGGUUUCUUAAAAAGAACUCUCCAAGUGAUGGAAACAUCAGACCCCACAGAAGGGGAUCUGUCCCAGGGAGGGGAAUCCCAUUCAUGAUCUUAGUCUCCUGAUAUCAUGCCUUAACCAAGGUUCUAACCUAUAAGUAGAGAUGCCAUACAACUAUUAUCACCUUCUGGGGGGCCAUUUGUCAUCCUAGAACUGGAUUAGAUUAUCAUGGAUAAGUAACUAUCUUGUUAGCUCGGAUCACCUGCCACACUGUCCUAUCAAGGGAAUCUGAGACUGAGUAGAAAGUAAAGAACAUCCAGUUAGCUCUCAUUUACACCUGCUUGAUUUCAAAAAGGAAACAAAAUAUUAGUCACGAAAGGAAUUUGCAUGACAGGACUGUUGGGAGUAUCCAAUAUGUAUUUCCUUAGAUUGUUGUACCAAUUGAAUUGGACCUUUUCUAUAUUUUUUCAUGUGAACACAUUGGUGAAUGUCCUUUAAUCAACAGUAUAUAAAAAAUCUACCACACUUAACUUAUUUGACAGUGACUUAUUCAGCCACAACCGUUUUCUGGAAGACCUCUCAGGAUGAAGUGGGAAAGGAAAAUCAAAAAUAUUGUCAUAAACUAUUAAUUAAAACAGAAUUGAAAGAAUUUCUCAGAAUUACAGAAAGUUUGAAAACAGUGAUGACACCAAAAGAAAGAAAAAAAAGCAGAACUCAACUUCAACAAACUACAGAUUUUUAAAGCUAACAUCCAGAAUCUGGAGAACUAGUGGUUAUAAAUUAUAAACUUAGAGACCUGUUUUUGUUUCAGGUUGUAAAUGUGAUGCUUAAAAGGAAGUAAUAUGGACACAAUACUUUGGAAAAACUACAUAGAGACACAUAGCAGUCAGUAUUAUAAAUAUUUCCAGUUAUUUUUUCCUAUUCCUAAUAUUUCCUAUUCAUACACACACACACAGUUUUUGAAAUGGGAAUUGACUUUACCUACUGUUCUGUAUUAACUUUUUUUCACUCAACCACAUAUUGUGGCUACAUUAUUAUGAUGCCACACAAUAAUUUACCUCAUUGUUUUUGGCUGGAUGUAUAAAAUCUCCUGGAAAUGCAUAGACUUAUUGAUGAUUAUUUAUCAUUAUUUAUUUAUAAUGAUACAUUACAUUAGACAAGCUGGACAAUAAAAAGGCAAAGACAGGAGUAAGCCUGGCUUCAAUACCCCUGAAUAUGAAAUGAAGGAGAACUUGAGCAAAGUUCAUAGUUUGUAAUAGUCCACGUAUGAGGUGUUUACUCCAACACAUGGCAUUAUACAUUGUGGACCUCACACUUUCUAGACAUCCUAAAUUAUUUCUAGGAGCCAGGAAUUCCUCAGGUGGGCAGUUAGAACUCAAAGUUCUAGGUCAGAGUCACCAGCCAAGUAUUAUACUGACCAAUUCUAAACAGAGUAGCCACCAAGAGGGCAUGUAGCAAACAACACAGCUGGCUUGUUCUCCUGUGUGAGACUCUCUACUCACCCACUGGAUGUCUGGGCCCACAGUUUAAAUAGGACAAUAUGAGGUAUUGGUGGCACCCAAUAGGUCGUAGAAUAGCAGGUGGGGAUGAGUCGACAUAGUUCCACUCACCUCAGUAAACUCCAUGUCUUAGAAGUACACUAAAGAAACAGUGAUUCUGUGCUUGGCAGCCUUUAGAAAGUACACCAUUCUCCCAAUUUUGCAGAUUUUAAGUUACAAAGACCUCAAAGUAAAUAUUUCUUAGUGAAGUGACAUUGGGCAAGUCAUGUAAACUCUCAAACUUAGUUCCCUCAUUGGAAAAAUUAGGGUUAUAGCACUUGGUCACUAGAGCUUUAGUAAGAAUGAAACAAGACAGUCCCCACAAAUAUCUUAGGACAGGAUCUGGCACAUAGACAACACAGAAUACCCAGGUUAUUAUUUGAAAGGGAACUAGGAGGGGAGAAGAAAUUAUCAAAUCUAAAUAGGGUUUUGCACAAGACAAAUAUAUUCACUGAUAUAUCAAAGAAUAUACCUGUAGGAGGAAAAAUUGGCCAAUGAUUUAGUGGGAACAGAUUCCCACCAAAUCCAGGCUAAAAACAAUGUUCUGCUUUGAAAACACGAUACAGAACUAAAGCAGACAUCAGAUAGGAUGCUGAAAGUUGUUCAGAGACAAUAGUUUACCUCCCACACAGAUUCUAUUCAGCUUGUUAAGUGUGAAAAGUCAGAUCGUAGUCAGGUACUGUACCUUAUUUCUGUCCCCGAGGGCAUGGUAAUCAACCAGGGCACCUGGCCAUGAGUCAGUGAUCCAUGUUGUAACGGCAGCUCUGACAAUGCACGUCUGUGGCAUCUCUCCAGGGAUGAACCAAGUGUUUUCAUUUCCUGUUUAGUUUCACAUGGGUAGUGAUUAUUUAUGGAGUAGCAGGAGGUAAAUUUUUUUUUAGGUUGGGCAACCAGUUGUGGGUUUUGAGGUCCAUUCCAUAAAUAACAAUAAAACUAAUAGAUUAAUCUAAGUUGCUCCACAUUUGCUGCAAGGCCACUGAGGCAAUGUCAUUGUAUUCAUCACUGGGGACAUAACACAGCUACCCAUGCUGUCCUGGGAUUCUCCACAGGACUCCUCUGUCUGAUGUCCCCAGUUUCACUGUUUGCAACCAAGAUCUACUCUCCUAUUCAAUAUGCCAUACAGCAUUAUUAUCUGC
rnacentral:lncRNA from 1 species